rnacentral:rRNA from 1 species
GGUGCCUUCGGGAACUCUGACACAGGUGCUGCAUGGCUGUCGUCGGCUCGUGUCGUGAGAUGUUGGGUUAAGUCCCGUAACGAGCGCAACCCUCGCCCUUAGUUGCCAUCAUUCAGUUGGGCACUCUAAGGGGACUGCCGGUGAUAAGCCGAGAGGAAGUGGGGAUGACGUCAAGUCCUCAUGGCCUUUAUGACCAGGGCUACACACGUACUACAAUGGCCGAUACAAAGGGCAGCGACACUGCGAGGUGAAGCCAAUCCCGUAAAAUCGGUCUCAGUCCGGAUUGGAGUCUGCAACUCGACUCCAUGAAGUUGGAAUCGCUAGUAAUCGUGGAUCAGCAUGCCACGGUGAAUACGUUCCCGGGCCUU